GGAGCUUUUUAUCUUUUCUUUGCCUAAGCAUUGCUCCAACUGCAUAGUCACUUGCAUUGCACAUCAUCUCGAACGGUAGCUCCCAAUUUGGUGGUUGCAUUAUUGGUGCUAAAAUCAUGGCUUUAUUGAUUCUGUUGAAGGAGACAAGGCAAUUUUCAUCAAAAUCAAAAGAAACAUCUUGACUUAACAAGUUGGUAAGUGGCUUAGCUAUUUU
rnacentral:misc_RNA from 1 species